rnacentral:lncRNA from 1 species
CCUGUCAUCAUCUAGACUACCUACCUACUCAAUUCCAGAUAUGAGAAUCACCAGUCUACAGAGUCUGUUUUAUUGAGAUUUUGUUGUACUUUGUUGGCUUAUAUCCAGUAUAGCAUCUAAACAUCAAUUCUGAAUCUAUAUGCUUCCACUUACAUUUUAAAUAAGUAGAGUUAAGUGUCAUCAUCGUUUUGAUGUCAUCCAUCAUCAACACUACUUACGACUUCAUCCAGCCUUUCAGAAAAAUAGAGGAGGCAACUUGAUUUCAGUAAUAUAAAUAUGGUUGAAUAUACAGGUUCUUAAAUACAGGCUUUUAUGAAAAUAAUAGAAGAAUUUGUUAUUUCCAGUUUCAUUUUCAUUCAUGGUUACUUUUAAAAUCUUAAUUUAACCAUUUUGAAUGUAAAUUUGUGAGCUAAUUAUUUUGUAAAUGAACUGAAUUGAGAUUCUUUGCUUUUCUUGUUGACAGCUGUAAUGAACUGUGAUUUCCUGACUGGGGUCAUCACACCGUGGGCCUGAAAGUUAAUUCGCAAUCAGAUUGUCCUUGUUCUGGCUCAACUCAUCACUACAAGAGAAUACAAUCAGAGCUGAGUGGCAGAUCUGCUAAAUGGCAAUAUUUGACUUGUGUAAGAAGAACUGUAGCUGUGAUAUCACUGGGAAUUUACUACGAGCUAAGUCAACAGAUUGUAGAUGUGCUCACAUUCCCCAACAACUUGCAUUCAGGGGAGAGAGAAAAAGUGUGUGUGUUAAUCCUAACUAUAGUAGACCCAUUGCAUUAGAAAUAUUGAUUGCUGAUUUAGCUACUUCUCAUCACAAUUAGAUUUAGGCUAUCAUCAUGAUUAAUAGCAAUUGAUAGUCUUACUGUCUAUGGAUAUGUCUAAUCCCUUUUAAAAGCCAUUCAGGCCGUUUUGCCCUUGCUACAACCCUGUGGAAACCAAUUUAAUUUCUUAGCUUGUGCUCUAUAGAGCUGUACUUUGGUCUGACAGAGAUGAUAUUCACCAUACCUGUGUGUGUGAGAGAGAGAGAGGGGGGAGGGGGAGAGAAAGAGACAGAGUACUGGCUUGCACUGAAUCUUGUGAUAGAUGCUAUGGAAUCCUGGGAAUAGUAGGGUGGUGAGACACCAGUGCUCCUUAGCAGAGGAGGCUAAAAUCUUUUAAAACUACACAGCCAUGGCAGCUAAAGUGGUGUCAAACGGCAUUAAUCUUAUAGUGUAGAUGCAUUUUUAGUCAGAAGCUACCACAGUUUUUCAAUUUUUUUUUGUCAUGAAUAAGGAAAUAAUUUCAUUUUUGCUGUGGGAAAAAGAAGAGCACAUACAAUUACUUUUUUGGAUUACAGGUCACAGAAGCCCCUAGAGACAUGGUCUGUCACCUGCUACCUUGGGUAUUCUAGAGGUUGUUUUAGUCCAAAUUAGGGUAUUUUUUCCCAGUCAUUGAUCAAAACUGAUACCUUUUCUCAUCUAGACCAGAGUGCUGCUAUUUAUUUAUGAUGUAGCAUUGCCCUUAAUCCUUGCUUGGCACAUCAGUGUUACAGAAAGACCUUCAUGGUGUUCUGUCCUUGGGGUUUGCUGAGAAAUUCCAAUUUAGGCUGACUCUGCUACAAGAAACUAAUAUUAUUGUGUGCUGCCUCUGAUGCUAUUUCAGAACUCCAUACUGUUUUAUCUUGUAUUACCAAAUGACUUAAUUUGUUUUCAUACAAAGAAUCUAAAAAUAGAACAUCUAUUAUUUUGGAACAAUAAUAACUUCCACAUUCCCUACAGCAACCUGCAUUACAUUCUUAAGAAGUAAUAUGGUCUGCAGUGAUAAGCAGUAGUAACCAUAGAGGAAAUGUGUGUGUGUGUGUGUGAUAUAUAUAUCCUAUCCUAUCAGCUCCAGUUAUUUUGCCUAAGUAGUUUUGUAUUAGGAUAAACCAACUUUCAGUUGCUUCCUCCCUCUGCGACUUUGGCUCUAUAUGAGU